GGAAAGAUUUAUCGGAUUUGGAUUAGCCCGCGUUAGAUUAGAUAGUUGGUGGGGUAAUGGCCUACCAAGUCUACGAUCUAUAGCUGGUUUUAGAGGAUGAUCAGCAACACUGGGACUGAGACACGGCCCAGACUCCUACGGGAGGCAGCAGUGGGGAAUCUUGGACAAUGGGCGCAAGUGAUCCAGCCAUGCCGCGUGAGUGAUGAAGGCCUUAGGGUCGUAAAGCUCUUUCGCCAGGGAUGAUAAUGACAGUACCUGGUAAAGAAACCCCGGCUAACUCCGUGCCAGCAGCCGCGGUAAUACGGAGGGGGUUAGCGUUGUUCGGAAUUACUGGGCGUAAAGCGCGCGUAGGGGGUUGUUAAGUUAGAGGUGAAAUCCCGGGGCUCAACCCCGAACUGCCUUUAAUACUGGCAACCUAGAGUUCGAGAGAGGUGAGUGGAAUUCCGAGUGUAGAGGUGAAAUUCGUAGAUAUUCGGAGGAACACCAGUGGCGAAGGGGCUCACUGGCUCGAUACUGACGCUGAGGUGCGAAAGUGUGGGGAGCAAACAGGAUUAGAUACCCUGGUAGUCCACACCGUAAACGAUGAAUGCCAGUCGUCGGGUAGCAUGCUAUUCGGUGACACACCUAACGGAUUAAGCAUUCCGCCUGGGGAGUACG
rnacentral:rRNA from 1 species